rnacentral:rRNA from 1 species
AGUGAACGCUGGCGGUAGGCCUAACACAUGCAAGUCGAACGGCAGCACAGUAAGAGCUUGCUCUUACGGGUGGCGAGUGGCGGACGGGUGAGGAUUACAUCGGAAUCUACUUUUUCGUGGGGGAUAAUGUAGUGAACCUUACGCUAAUACCGCAUACGACCUACGGGUGACAGCAGGGGAUCUUCUGACCUUGCGCGAUUGAAUUAGCCGAUGUCGGAUUAGCUAGUUGGCGGGGUAAAGGCCCACCAAGGCGACGCUCCGUAGCUGGUCUGAGAGGAUGAUCAGCCACACUGGAACUGAGACACGGUCCAGACUCCUACGGGAGGAAGCAGUGGGGAAUAUUGGACAAUGGGGGAAAGCCUGAUCCAGCCAUACCGCGUGGGUGAAGAAGGCCUUCGGGUUGUAAAGCCCUUUUGUUGGGAAAGAAAAGCAGCAGGUUAAUACCCCGAUGUUCUGACGGUACCAAAAGAAGAAGCACCGGCUAACUUCGUG